rnacentral:rRNA from 1 species
GCAGCCGCGGUAAUUCCAGCUCCAAUAGCAUAUAUUAAAGUUGUUGCAGUUAAAAAGCUCGUAGUUGAAUUUCGGGAUUAGUACGUUGGUCGUGCCUUCGGUACGUACUGGUGUUACUGAUUCCUACCUUCUGACGAACCAUCAUGUCAUUAAUUUGGUGUGAUGGGGAAUCAGGACUGUUACUUUGAAAAAAUUAGAGUGUUUAAAGCAGGCUCGUGCUUGAAUACAUUAGCAUGGAAUAAUGAAAUAGGACGUUAAUCCUAUUUUGUUGGUUUCUAGGAUUUACGUAAUGAUUAAUAGGGAUAGUUGGG